CGAUGUCGGCUCAUCGCAUCCUGGGGCUGUAGUCGGUCCCAAGGGUUGGGCUGUUCGCCCAUUAAAGCGGUACGCGAGCUGGGUUCAGAACGUCGUGAGACAGUUCGGUCCCUAUCCGUCGCGGGCGCAGGAAAUUUGAGAGGAGCUGUCCUUAGUACGAGAGGACCGGGAUGGACGUUCCGCUGGUGUACCAGUUGUGCCGCCAGGCGCAUCGCUGGGUAGCUAUGAACGGAAGGGAUAAACGCUGAAAGCAUCUAAGUGUGAAGCCCCCCUCGAGAUGAGAUUUCCCAUUCCUAUAUGGAAGUAAGACCCCUGAAAGAUGAUCAGGUAGAUAGGCUGGAAGUGGAAGUGCAGCGAUGCAUGGAGCGGACCAGUACUAAUCGGUCGAGGACUUAACCAA
rnacentral:rRNA from 1 species